ACUCAUCCAAAUGAAAACAUGGUGGACAUUAUGAAAGACGAGCAAACGUUUUACUUCGCUUUUUUUACCUUCACUCUGGCCACGAUUGUCGCUGCUUUUAUCCUGUCUAGAUUUAUUACACUCAACCCAUCUUAUCACAACUAAGAGAAUCUCAAACCGCCAGAAGAUGAAAUUAGCCACACAAAAGGAAUUUGGAGAUUAAAAGAAAAACCCUCAGAAGUAUAGCUGAUGUCAUUAAAAGAACUGUGUUGUCCCUCCACAAGAAGAAACAUCCUGAAGGAAUUUGAGAAUAUUGCUGAUGCAUGUACUGUACCUCAUGGUUCUGUUAAGUUGGAGUUCCUAAACUUUCUAGGCAGUUGAUAUGUUAUAAUAUAAGGCUCAAAGGAAAUAUAUUCCUCAGUCUUCAAGAAAGUGUUGUUCUUAGUGAAAAAUAUAGGAUUUUUUUGCUUAUAGUACAUUGUAAAGAUUGAAAAUUUAUUUAUUUACAUUGCACAAGUUGUUUUAAAACCUUUGUGGUGGUCAAUGAAAACAAUGAAGUGUAAAUGUG